CAGUCGCCGCGGGAAAACGGAGGGGGCUAGCGUUGUUCGGAAUUACUGGGCGUAAAGCGCACGUAGGCGGCUUGGUAAGUUAGAGGUGAAAGCCUGGAGCUCAACUCCAGAAUUGCCUUUAAGACUGCCGAGCUAGCAGGUGAGAGAGGUAAGUGGAAUUCCGAGUGUAGAGGUGAAAUUCGUAGAUAUUCGGAAGAACACCAGUGGCGAAGGCGGCUUACUGGCUCAUACUGGACGCUGAGGUGCGAAAGCGUGGGGAGCAAACAGGAUUAGAUACCCCUGUAGUCCUGUCUCUUAUACA
rnacentral:rRNA from 1 species